GCGGGUAUAGCUCAGCUGGGAGAGCGUUAGACUGAAGAUCUAAAGGUCGGGCGUUCGAUCCGCUCUAGCCGCA
rfam:Parasitella parasitica strain CBS 412.66 genome assembly, contig: contig_9801